CAGCAGCCGCGGUAAUACCGGCGGCCCGAGUGGCGGCCACUAUUAUUGGGCUUAAAGCGUCCGUAGCCGGGUUGGUUAGUCUCCCGGGAAAUCUGGCCGCUUAACGGUCAGAAUUCCGGGAGAUACUGCCAGCCUAGGGACCGGGAGAGGCCGAGGGUAUUCCCGGAGUAGGGGUGAAAUCCUAUAAUCCCGGGAGGACCACCUGUGGCGAAGGCGCUCGGCUGGAACGGGUCCGACGGUGAGGGACGAAGGCCAGGGGAGCAAACCGGAUUAGAUACCCGGGUAGUCCUGGCUGUAAACGAUGCGGACGUUGUGUCGGACAAGCUAUGAGCUGGUCCGGUGCCGGAGGGAAACCGUUAAGUCCGCCGCCUGGGGAGUACGGCCGCAAGGCUGAAACUUAAAGGAAUUGGCGGG
rnacentral:rRNA from 1 species